ACGGCGACCGGCGCACGGUGAGUAACACGUAUGCGACCUGCCCGUAGCAGGGGGAUAAGCGGAAGAAAUUCCGUCUAAUACCGCGUAAUAUCUUUCGGGGGCAUCCCUGAGGGAUUAAAGGAAGCGAUUCCGGCUACGGAUGGGCAUGCGGCGCAUUAGCUAGUCGGCGGGGUAACGGCCCACCGAGGCGACGAUGCGUAGGGGGUUCUGAGAGGAAGGUCCCCCCACACUGGUACUGAGACACGGACCAGACUCCUACGGAAGGCAGCAG
rnacentral:rRNA from 1 species